rnacentral:rRNA from 1 species
GACGAACGCUGGCGGCGUGCUUAACACAUGCAAGUCGAGCGGUAAGGCCCUUUCGGGGGUACACGAGCGGCGAACGGGUGAGUAACACGUGGGUGACCUGCCCUCAGCUCUGGGAUAAGCCUGGGAAACUGGGUCUAAUACUGGAUAUGACUCCACGGUGCAUGUCGUGGGGUGGAAAGCCUUGUGCGGCUGAGGAUGGGCCCGCGGCCUAUCAGCUUGUUGGUGGGGNGAUGGCCUACCAAGGCGACGACGGGUAGCCGGCCUGAGAGGGCGACCGGCCACACUGGGACUGAGACACGGCCCAGACUCCUACGGGAGGCAGCAGUGGGGAAUCUUGCGCAAUGGGCGAAAGCCUGACGCAGCGACGCCGCGUGAGGGAUGACGGCCUGGUGUAACU